rnacentral:tRNA from 1 species
CGCGAAGUAGAGCAGCGGUAGCUCGUCGGGCUCAUAACCCGAAGGUCGGUGGUUCGAACCCACCCUUCGCAACAA